UGGUUCUGGCAUCGAUGAAGAACGCAGCGAAAUGCGAUAAGUAGAGUGAAUUGCAGAAUUCCGUGAAUCAUCGAAUCUUUGAACGCACAUUGCGCCUGUUGGCAUUCCAACAGGCAUGCCUGUUCGAGCGUCAUUUAAGUCCUCAAGCCUAGCUUGGUGUUGGGUGCUGUUCGCGCUGCGCGGACUCGCCCCAAAUAUAUUGGCAGUCAGCAACAGGGUUGUUGGAGCGUAGCACAAUUUGCGCUCCCAGCCACUAGCGCUGGCGUACAUGAAGCUUAUUCCAACGUUUGACCUCGGAUCAGGUAGGGAUACCCGCUGA
rnacentral:misc_RNA from 1 species